rnacentral:ncRNA from 2 species
UUGACCUCAUCAGAGGCACGCCAUUCGACUGAGUGACCUAUCAGCUUGUACUUAGGGUCUUUACCUAGGUAGGCUAUCACGGGUAACGGGCGGUUACCGUCGGACUGCCGGAGAAGGCGCCUGAGAGAUAGCGACUAUAUCCACGGGUAGCAGCAGGCGCGAAACUUUCCCACUCGAGACUUUCGGAGGAGGUAAUGACCAGUUCCAUUGGUGCCUUUUGGUACUGUGGAUAGGGGUACGGUUUUCCACCGUACCGAAACCUAGCAGAGGGCCAGUCUGGUGCCAGCAGCUGCGGUAAUUCCAGCUCUGCGAGUUUGCUCCCAUAUUGUUGCAGUUAAAACGCCCGUAGUCUGAAUUGGCCAGCAAUGGUCGUACGUAUUUUUACGUUCACUGUGAACAAAUCAGGACGCUUAGAGUAUGGCCACAUGAAUGACUCAGCGCAGUAUGAAGUCUUUGUUUUCUUCCGAAAACAAGCUCAAUGAGAGCCAUCGGGGGUAGAUCUAUCUCAUGACGAGUGGUGGAAUACUUUGACUCAUGAGAGAGAAGCUGAGGCGAAGGCGUCUACCUAGAGGGUUUCUGUCGAUCAAGGGCGAGAGUAGGAGUAUCCAACAGGAUUAGAGACCCUGGUAGUUCCUACCUUAAACGAUGCCGACAGGAGUUUGUCAUUUGUUAAUGGCAGAAUCUUUGGAGAAAUCAUAGUUCUUGGGCUCUGGGGGAACUACGACCGCAAGGCUGAAACUUGAAGGAAUUGACGGAAGGGCACACCAGGGGUGGAGCCUGUGGCUUAAUUUGAAUCAACACGGGGAAACUUACCAGGACCAGAUGUUUUUUAUGACUGACAGGCUUCGGGUCUUUCAGGAUAUUGUUUUUUGGUGGUGCAUGGCCGUUGGUGGUGCGUGGGUUGACCUGUCUAGCGUUGAUUCAGCUAACGAGCGAGAUUAUCGCCAAUUAUUUACUUUGCCGAAGUCCUUUCGGUAAAGUUCUAAUUGGGACUCCCUGCGAUUU